CCUCGCUCUCCGAACCUGCCCCUGAGCUGCUGUAGGGGGCCUCAGCCGCGUUCCUGGUGCUCCACUCCUAGGAAUCCCAUCCCACAAGGGGUGUCGCUGCAAGAGCCCAGGGAUCGGGAGAGCACA